rnacentral:rRNA from 1 species
UACGUAGGGCGCAAGCGUUGUCCGGAAUUAUUGGGCGUAAAGAGCUCGUAGGUGGUUUGUUACGUCCGCUGUGAAAUCCUAGGGCUUAACCCUGGGCUUGCAGUGGAUACGGGCAGACUAGAGGUAGGUAGGGGAGAAUGGAAUUCCUGGUGUAGCGGUGAAAUGCGCAGAUAUCAGGAGGAACACCAAUGGCGAAGGCAGCUCGCUGGGACGGUACUGACGCUGAGACGCGAAAGCGUGGGGAGCAAACAGG